GGAGAGGUGGCCGAGUGGCCGAAGGCAACGGUUUGCUAAACCGUCACAGGGCGAAAGUUCUGUCGCGGGUUCAAAUCCCGCCCUCUCCGCCA
rnacentral:tRNA from 1 species